rnacentral:tRNA from 1 species
GGGGCAGCAGCUCAGUGGUAGAGCUCCCGCUUCAUACGCGGGAAGACCUGCGUCUGAUUCCAGGCUGCUUUC